rnacentral:tmRNA from 1 species
GGGGGUGAUUGGUCUCGACAGCGGCUGUCGAGUGAGGUGAAGCGGGCCGAGGAAGGCAACGAUGAUCUCGUAAACCAUCCGUUGCAAAAAAAUCAAGCGCCGACAACAGUCAGCGCGAGUUCGCCCU